GACGAACGCUGGCGGCGUGCUUAACACAUGCAAGUCGAACGGAAAGGCCCUGCUUUUGUGGGGUGCUCGAGUGGCGAACGGGUGAGUAACACGUGAGUAACCUGCCCUUGACUUUGGGAUAACUUCAGGAAACUGGGGCUAAUACCGGAUAGGAGCUCCUGCUGCAUGGUGGGGGUUGGAAAGUUUCGGCGGUUGGGGAUGGACUCGCGGCUUAUCAGCUUGUUGGUGGGGUAGUGGCUUACCAAGGCUUUGACGGGUAGCCGGCCUGAGGGGGUGACCGGCCACAUUGGGACUGAGAUACGGCCCAGACUCCUACGGGAGGCAGCAGUGGGGAAUAUUGCACAAUGGGCGGAAGCCUGAUGCAGCAACGCCGCGUGCGGGAUGACGGCCUUCGGGUUGUAACCCGCUUUCGCCUGUGACGAAGCGUGAGUGACGGUAAUGGGUAAAGAAGCACCAGCUAACUACGUG
rnacentral:rRNA from 1 species